rnacentral:rRNA from 1 species
UUUUUGAGAAUAAUUUAAAGUCAAAUCUGCCCACUGAAUUUAUUUAAAGGGCUGCAGUAAUUUGACUGUACAAAGGUAGCAUAAUCAUUAGUCUUUUAAUUGGAGACUUGUAUGAAAGAUUUAAUGAGAUAUAAACUGUCUCUUUUUUAUAAUUAGAACUUAAUUUUUUAGUAAAAAAGCUAAAAUUUAUUUAAAAGACGAGAAGACCCUAUAGAGUUUUAUUAUUAAUAUAAUUAUAAUUUUUUAUUAAAUUUUAAUAAAAAUUUAUUUAAUAAUUUUAUUGGGGUGAUAGAAAAAUUUAAUAAACUUUUUUUAAAAGAAAAAUUAACAUUAAUUUAUGAUAUAAUGAUCCAUAAUUUAUGAUUAUAAGAAAAAAUUACCUUAGGGAUAACAGCGUAAUUUUUUUUUUUAGAUCUUAUAAAAAAAAAAGUUUGCGACCUCGAUGUUGGAUUAAGAUAAAAUU